rnacentral:misc_RNA from 1 species
GGACUACUCGGGUUUCUAAUCCUGUUUGCUCCCCACACUUUCGCACCUCAGCGUCAGUAUCGAGCCAGUGAGCCGCCUUCGCCACUGGUGUUCCUCCAAAUAUCUACGAAUCUCACCUCUACACUUGGAAUUCCACUCACCUCUCUCGAACUCAAGACUAGCAGUAUCAAAGGCAGUUCCAGGGUUGAGCCCUGGGAUUUCACCUCUGACUUACUAAUCCGCCUACGUGCGCUUUACGCCCAGUAAUUCCGAACAACGCUAACCCCCUCCGUAUUACCGCGGCUGCUGGCACGGAGUUAGCCGGGGUUUCUUUUCCAGGUACUGUCAUUAUCAUCCCUGGUGAAAGAGCUUUACGACCCUAAGGCCUUCAUCACUCACGCGGCAUGGCUAGAUCAGGCUU